UACGUAGGGACCGAGCGUUGUCCGGAAUCAUUGGGCGUAAAGAGCGUGUAGGCGGCUUGCUAAGUCUUGCGUGAAAUCUCGGGGCUCAACCCCGAGCGGUCGUGGGAAACUGGCAGGCUAGAGUGCGGGAGAGGAGAAUGGAAUUCCUGGUGUAGCGGUGAAAUGCGCAGAUAUCAGGAAGAACACCCGUGGCGAAGGCGGCUCUCUGGAACGCAACUGACGCUGAGACGCGAAAGCGUGGGGAGCAAACAGG
rnacentral:rRNA from 1 species